rfam:Schizopora paradoxa strain KTC8140 unplaced genomic scaffold SCHPAscaffold_00009, whole genome shotgun sequence.
GGCCAUAUAGUGUAGCGGUUUAUCACUCGGGAUUUUGAUUUCUUCGGAAUUUCCCGUAACCCAGGUUCGAACCCUGGUAUGGCCU